rnacentral:rRNA from 1 species
UACAGAGGUCUCAAGCGUUGUUCGGAUUCAUUGGGCGUAAAGGGCGCGUAGGUGGCUUUGUAAGUCAGGUGUGAAAUCUCGGGGCUCAACCCCGAAACUGCACUUGAUACUGCGAUGCUCGAGUACUGGAGAGGAGAUUGGAAUUUACGGUGUAGCAGUGAAAUGCGUAGAUAUCGUAAGGAAGACCAGUGGCGAAGGCGGAUCUCUGGACAGUUACUGACACUGAGGCACGAAGGCCAGGGGAGCAAACGGG